AGAACGAACGCUGGCGGCAUGCCUAACACAUGCAAGUCGAACGAGACCUUCGGGUCUAGUGGCGCACGGGUGCGUAACGCGUGGGAAUCUGCCCUUCGGUUCGGAAUAACAGUUAGAAAUGACUGCUAAUACCGGAUAAUGACGUAAGUCCAAAGAUUUAUUGCCGAAGGAUGAGCCCGCGUAAGAUUAGCUAGUUGGUGAGGUAAAGGCUCACCAAGGCUACGAUCUUUAGCUGGUCUGAGAGGAUGAUCAGCCACACUGGGACGGAGACACGGCCCAGACUCCUACGGGAGGCAGCAGUGGGGAAUAUGGACAAUGGGCGAAAGCCUGAUCCAGCAAUGCCGCGUGAGUGAUGAAGGCCUUAGGGUUGUAAAGCUCUUUUACCGGGAUGAUAAUGACAGUACCGGAGAAUAAGCUCCGGCUAACUCCGUGCCAGCAGCCGC
rnacentral:rRNA from 1 species